AGUGAACGCUGGCGGCGUGCCUAAUACAUGCAAGUCGAACGGAGUGGCGCACGGGUGGGUAAUGUAUAGCUAAUCUGCCCUACACUAGAGGACAACAGUUGGAAACGGCUGCUAAUACUCCAUAGGGUAGGAUGAGGCUAUAUUGUAUCAGCUAGGUGGUGAGGUAAUGGCUCACCAAGGCUAUGACGCAUCACUGGUCUGAGAGGAUGAUCAGUCCACCUGGAAAUGAGAAAAGGUUCCGACUCCUACCGGAGGGAGCAGUAGGGGAUAUUUGUCAAUGGGGGAAACCCUGAAGGAGCAGCGGCGCGUGGAAGAUGACACGUAUCGGAGCGUAAACGCCUUUUGUUAGGGAAGCGGUACCUAACGAAUAAGCACCGGCUAACUCCGUGCCAGCCGCCGCGGUAAUAC
rnacentral:rRNA from 1 species